rnacentral:rRNA from 1 species
UACAGAGGUCUCAAGCGUUGUUCGGAUUCAUUGGGCGUAAAGAGCGCGCAGGCGGUCGUUCAAGUCGAGUGUGAAAGCCCCCGGCUCAACUGGGGAGGGUCAUUCGAUACUGAUCGACUCGAAGGCAGGAGAGGGUAGUGGAAUUCCCGGUGUAGUGGUGAAAUGCGUAGAUAUCGGGAGGAACACCUGCGGCGAAGGCGGGUUGCUGGGCUGACACUGACGCUGAUGCGCGAAAGCCAGGGGAGCGAACGGG